GAUGAACGCUGACAGAAUGCUUAACACAUGCAAGUCAACUUGAAUUUGGGUUUUUAACUUAGAUUUGGGUGGCGGACGGGUGAGUAACGCGUAAAGAACUUGCCUCACAGCUAGGGACAACAUUUAGAAAUGAAUGCUAAUACCUGAUAUUAUGAUUUUAAGGCAUCUUAGAAUUAUGAAAGCUAUAAGCACUGUGAGAGAGCUUUGCGUCCCAUUAGCUAGUUGGAGAGGUAACAGCUCACCAAGGCGAUGAUGGGUAGCCGGCCUGAGAGGGUGAACGGCCACAAGGGGACUGAGACACGGCCCUUACUCCUACGGGAGGCAGCAGUGGGGAAUAUUGGACAAUGGACCGAGAGUCUGAUCCAGCAAUUCUGUGUGCACGAUGAAGUUUUUCGGAAUGUAAAGUGGUUUCAGUUGGGAAGAAAAGAAAUGACGGGUACCAACAGAAGAAGUGACGGCUAAAUACGUGCCAGCAGCCGCGGUAAUACGUAUGUCACGAGCGUUUAUCCGGAUUUAUUGGGCGUAAAGCGCGUCUAGGUGGUUUAUGUAAGUUCUGAUGUGAAAAUGCAGGGCUCAACUCUGUAUUGCGUUGGAAACUGUGUAACUAGAGUACUGGGAGAGGUAAGCGGAACUACAAGUGUAGAGGUGAAAUUCGUAGAUAUUUGUAGGAAUGCCGAUGGGGGAAGCCAGCUUACUGGACAGAUACUGACGCUAAAGCGCGAAAGCGUGGUAGCAAACAGG
rnacentral:rRNA from 1 species